AUUGAACGCUGGCGGCAGGCCUAACACAUGCAAGUCGAGCGAGCGGCGGACGGGUGAGUAAUGUAUGGGGACUGCCCGAUAGAGGGGGAUAACUACUGGAAACGGUGGCUAAUACCGCAUACUGUCGGAUAACCCAUAUGGGAUUAGCUAGUAGGUAAGGUAAUGGCUUACCUAGGCGACGAUCCCUAGCUGGGCUGAGAGGAUGAUCAGGCACACUGGGGCUGGGCAACGGCCCCGAAUCCUACGGGGGCCGCAGUGGGGAAAUUUUGACAAAGGGCGCAAGCCCGAAGGCGCCAUGCCGCGUGUAUGAAGAAGGCCCUAGGGUUUGAAAGUACUUUCAGGCGGGAGGCGUUACCGACAGAAGAAGCACCAGCUAACUCCGUGCCAGCAGCCGCGGUAAUAC
rnacentral:rRNA from 1 species